rfam:Paracoccidioides brasiliensis Pb18 unplaced genomic scaffold supercont2.3, whole genome shotgun sequence.
GAGGGACUGGCAGAAGGGUAAUGCGUAGCUCUCCUACCAUUGGACAAUGGAAAACCUAGACAGGUGGUCCGGGGACCAAGCUAAGCUAAGAUUGUGGGUUCGAGUCCCACGUUCCUCG